rnacentral:rRNA from 1 species
GGACCCACACAAGCGGUGGAGCGUGGGGUUUAAUUCGAUGAUAAGCGAAGCACCUCACCCAGGCUUGACAUCCUAGGUAUCUCCUGGAAACAGGGGAGUGCCGCAAGGAACCUAGAGACAGGCGCUGCACGGUCGUCGUCAGCUCGUGCCUUGAGGUGUACUGUUAAGUCAGCAAACGAGCGCAACCCUCGUCCCAUGUUGAUUUCUCAUGGGAGACUGCCGCCUCCAAGGCGGAGGAAGGCGAGGAUGACGUCAGAUCAGCGUGGCCCUUAUGCCUGGGGCGACACCCGCGCUACAAUGGCCGGAACAGAGGGCAGCGAACCCGCAAGGGUAAGCCAAUCCCAGAAAACCGGUCCCAGUUCGGAUUGGAGUCUGCAACUCGACUCCAUGAAGCCGGAAUCGCUAGUAACCGUGAAUCAGCCAUGUCACGGUGAAUACGUUCCUGGGUCUU